AAGAAGGCGCCGGUCCAGGGGCUUUCUUCAAACUUUGCAGAGGCGCAUGAGGGAUGAUUCUGUGUGAGGGGUGAUUCUCUUACGCCUUGAGCCAUCAGAGUAACUUAUAUGGCUUACUGGAUCUGGGUAACGAGGAAUAGCCAGGUGUUUGAGACAGGAGGCAGCCUGCCAGGUUUAUCUUGGAGAGAGCCUUGGACCAAACCAAUGGAGUUCACUAGCCUUUCCUCUAAUGGAAGGAUAUUGACAACUUGGGACACCUGGGUCUCCCC
rnacentral:lncRNA from 1 species